GGGAGCCCGACUGGCCCGCCCCUCCGCCCCGCCCCCGGCCCCGCGGAGACCCGGCCCGACCCCGCCGUGGCCUGCGGGCGGCGCGUGGGCGGGGCAGCCCCCCGAGCCCCGGCCCGGGGAGGGCCCGGACGGAAACGUGGGGAACCCGAGAACCCCAAGGAUUUCCCAAUGCGCAGUCCGCGUCAGACCCGCAGGCCUACCUGGUGUUUCUGUUCCAGCAGGAUGCAUGUUUGAAAUGAAACUGAUCUGACUAAAACAAGCCACUCACAUGAAGGAAUAAAUGAAGCUAUCCGUGGCUACUGAAAACGAAUCCACAAAUUAGACUGCUAAGCUGAAGCCAAGCUUAGUUCAAGUAUUUAUUUGAUUACUAAAUGCCCAGAUUUUAACCUAAUCUGGUUUUUAAAACUCAGAGCAUGAUUCUUCAUUUUGAGUGUUGGAAUCCUACAUAUUUCCUUUUCUGAAAUUGACUCUUCGAUUCAUUUGAUGUAUAAAGAGGCAAGAUAAUCUCACCUCUGAUAGCUACUUGAAGAAGAAAACUUUCUUUCAUGAAGAUACAGUAUGACUGAAGAACUUUUCAGAUAAUUAUCAUCAAUGUGCAGAAUCAAAAAGUCUAUUGAAUUUGUGUGCUAAAUAAAUGAAGACAUUGUAAUAUUUACAGUACGCAAAUCUAGAAAUGUAUAUGCCUGAAAACUGAUCCUUCAAAAUUCGUAAAGGCUUAGAGGUUUCUUCUUAUAUUGAUUGUCUUAUAUAGCCUGUUGAAUGUAUAUCAACUGUGAAAGCAGCCAAUUGGACACCUACUGAUUCUGUGCUAACAGAUAAAGCAUCAAACUUCAAACCUCCCUGUAAAAAUGAGGCCAAAGUGUCCCAUUUUCUUUUUGCAUCACAGAAAUUCAAUUCCACAAUGUAGUUCAUGCUUCACUGGAGAAAUUCACAGCUUAGAAUAAUGUAUAAGAAGCGAACAGAUAGAGUCUUAAGGCCAUCGGAGACUAAUUAUGAAAUAAAUGUUAUUUAAAAGAAUGUUCAUAUUAGAAGUACC